UACGUAGGGUGCAAGCGUUGUCCGGAAUUAUUGGGCGUAAAGAGCUCGUAGGCGGUUUGUCGCGUCUGCUGUGAAAACCUGAGGCUCAACCUCGGACUUGCAGUGGGUACGGGCAGACUAGAGUGUGGUAGGGGAGACUGGAAUUCCUGGUGUAGCGGUGGAAUGCGCAGAUAUCAGGAGGAACACCGGUGGCGAAGGCGGGUCUCUGGGCCGAUA
rnacentral:rRNA from 1 species